AAAAGAAUUGCAGGAAGUUUCAAUCAAAUGUUCUAGACAUUUUAUAGAAAUGAAAGUAAUUUAAGAUGCCAUUGUUGCGCUAAUCAGGCUAUUCUGGUGUGGGCCUCGUCAUUUUGAACUGCGGUCAGAUGAUGAGGACGACACCUGAGCUAACACCCUCCUCUCCAAACUAUCUCAUCACACUAGCGGGAGGACGUUUGGCCUAGAUGGAUUUAACUUGCAUCAGACCCACUUACACAACGGUUUUUCGGUGGAAUCGAAUAUCGAAUCUGAAACCCUCUGGUUCCGAAGCUGAGACAUUACCAACAGGCCACCGCAACCUCUUAGUGUAUUAUAGAAAACAAUAAUACUCUGCUUCAAAAUAAAUUUCUUAAGAAACA